rnacentral:rRNA from 1 species
GAGUUUGAUCCUGGCUCAGAUUGAACGCUGGCGGCAUGCCUAAUACAUGCAAGUCGAACGGAAACAGGACGCUGUGAUCCCUUCGGGGUGAACUUGUCGCUGUCGAGUGGCGGACGGGUGAGUAAUGCUUAGGAAUCUACCCAGUAGCGGGGGACAACCCGGGGAAACUCGGGCUAAUACCGCAUACGCCCUACGGGGGAAAGCGGGGGACUCUUCGGAGCCUCGCACUAUUGGAUGAGCCUAAGUCGGAUUAGCUUGAUGGUAAGGUAACGGCUUACCAUGGCGACGAUCCGUAGCUGGUCUGAGAGGACGAUCAGCCACACUGGGACUGAGACACGGCCCAGACUCCUACGGGAGGCAGCAGUAGGGAAUAUUGGACAAUGGGGGCAACCCUGAUCCAGCAAUGCCGCGUGUGUGAAGAAGGCCUGCGGGUUGUAAAGCACUUUCAGUAGAGAAGAAAAGCUAUCGGUUAAUAACCGAGAGUCUUGACGUAACCUACAGAAGAAGCACCGGCUAACUCCGUGCCAGCAGCCGCGGUAAUACGGAGGGUGCGAGCGUUAAUCGGAAUUACUGGGCGUAAAGCGCGCGUAGGCGGCUUGGUCAGUCGGAUGUGAAAGCCCCGGGCUUAAC